rnacentral:rRNA from 1 species
GCGACGGGUGAGUAACACGUGACUAACCUACCCUCGAGUGUGGAAUAACAUCGGGAAACCGAUGCUAAUACCGCAUAAUAUCGCAAGAUCAAAGGAGCAAUCCGCUUGAGGAGGGGGUCGCGGCUGAUUAGCUAGUUGGCGGGGUAACGGCCCACCAAGGCGAAGAUCGGUAGCCGGCCUGAGAGGGCGCACGGCCACACUGGAACUGAAACACGGUCCAGACUCCUACGGGAGGCAGCAGUGGGGAAUUUUGCGCAAUGGGGGAAACCCUGACGCAGCAACGCCGCGUGGAGGAUGAAGCCCCUUGGGGUGUAAAUCCUUUCGACCAAGACGAUAAUGACGGUACUGGUGGAAGAAGCACCGGCCUAACUCUGUGCCAGCAGCCGCGGUAAUACAGAGGGUGCAAGCGUUGUCCGGAAUUCAUCGGGCGUACACGGGCGCGUAGGCGGCGCGGUAAGUCACCUGUGAAAAUCUCCAAGCUCAACUUGAAGCCUGCAGGCCGAAAAACUGCCGUGCUGGAGCUCAUGGGACAGGUCGCGUGGCAAUUCCCGGUGGUACCGCUCGACAAU